AUUGAACGCUGGCGGCAGGCCUAACACAUGCAAGUCGAGCGAGCGGCGGACGGGUGAGUAAUGUAUGGGGACUGCCCGAUAGAGGGGGAUAACUACUGGAAACGGUGGCUAAUACCGCAUACUAUCGGAUAACCCAUAUGGGAGUAGCUAGUAGGUGAGGUAAUGGCUCAACUAGGCGACGAUCCCUAGCUGGUAUGAGAGGAUGAUCAGCAACACUGGAACUGAGACACGGCCCAGACUCCUACGGAGGCAGCAGGGGGGAAUAUUGCACAAGGGGCGCAAGCCGGAUGGAGCCAUGCCGCGUGAAUGAAGAAGGCCCUAGGGUUGUAAAGUACUUUCAGUCGGGAGGCGUUACCGACAGAAGAAGCCCCGGCUAACUCCGUGCCAGCAGCCGCGGUAAUUC
rnacentral:rRNA from 1 species